GCUCAGCCGUCAACAAAGACAGUACAAAAUACAAUACUGUUCGCCAGAGAACUACAAGCUAAAACUCAAAACUCCAAGGACUUGGCGGUGCUCCACACCAACCUAGAGGAGCCUGUCCUAUAAUCGAUACCCCCCGAUCUACCUCACCACUUUUUGAAACUCAGCCUAUAUACCGCCGUCGUCAGCCUACCUUAUGAAAGAAGUACAGUAAGCGAAAUAGUCACCAACUAAAACGCCAGGUCAAGGUGUAGCACAUAAAGUGGAAGAGAUGGGCUACACUCUCUCCCUCAGAGAACACGAACAGCAUCAAUGAAACACUGCUUAAAGGUGGAUUUAGUAGUAAGAUAAACAAGAGAACUUAUAUUAAACCAGCUCUGGAGCGCGC
rnacentral:rRNA from 1 species